GCCUUCGUGGUGUAGUGGUCAGCACACUCGGCGCGUAUUCCAGAGGUCCGUGGUUCGAGUCCCGGCGAAGGCG
rnacentral:tRNA from 1 species